rnacentral:rRNA from 1 species
CAGUCGCCACGGUAAUACGAAGGGUGCAAGCGUUAAUCGGAAUUACUGGGCGUAAAGGGCGCGUAGGCGGUUUGGCAAGUUUGGUGUGAAAUCCUCGGGCUCAACUCGAAGUCUGCAUCGAAAACUGCCGGGCUUGAGUAUGGGAGAGGUGAGUGGAAUUUCCGGUGUAGCGGUGAAAUGCGUAGAUAUCGGAAGGAACACCUGUGGCGAAAGCGGCUCACUGGACCAUAACUGACGCUGAGGCGCGAAAGCUAGGGGAACAAACAGGAUUAGAUACCCCUGUAGUCCCUGUCUCUUAUAC